rnacentral:rRNA from 1 species
UGAGACACGGUCCAAACUCCUACGGGAGGCAGCAGUGAGGAAUAUUGGUCAAUGGGCGGAAGCCUGAACCAGCCAAGUAGCGUGCAGGAAGACGGCCCUCCGGGUUGUAAACUGCUUUUAGUUGGGAAUAAAACGGGGCUCGUGAGCCCCCUUGCAUGUACCAUCAGAAAAAGGACCGGCUAAUUCCGUGCCAGCAGCCGCGGUAAUACGGAAGGUCCGGGCGUUAUCCGGAUUUAUUGGGUUUAAAGGGAGCGCAGGCGGACCUUUAAGUCAGCUGUGAAAUACGGCGGCUCAACCGUCGAACUGCAGUUGAUACUGGAGGUCUUGAGUGCACACAGGGAUGCUGGAAUUCAUGGUGUAGCGGUGAAAUGCUCAGAUAUCAUGAAGAACUCCGAUCGCGAAGGCAGGCAUCCGGGGUGCAACUGACGCUGAGGCUCGAAAGUGCGGGUAUCAAACAGGAUUAGAUACCCUGGUAGUCCGCACAGUAAACGAUGAAUACUCGCGGUUUGCGAUACAGUGUAAGCCGCCAAGCGAAAGCGUUAAGUAUUCCACCUGGGGAGUACGCCGGCAACGGUGAAACUCAAAGGAAUUGACGGGGGCCCGCACAAGCGGAGGAACAUGUGGUUUAAUUCGAUGAUACGCGAGGAACCUUACCCGGGCUUGAACUGUAGGCGAACGAUUCAGAGAUGAUGAGGCCCUUCGGGGCGCCUAUGGAGGUGCUGCAUGGUUGUCGUCAGCUCGUGCCGUGAGGUGUCGGCUUAAGUGCCAUAACGAGCGCAACCCUCAUCCUCGUUUGCCAUCAGGUGAUGCUGGGCACUCCGGGGACACUGCCAUCGUAAGAUGUGAGGAAGGUGGGGAUGACGUCAAAUCAGCACGGCCCUUACGUCCGGGGCUACACACGUGUUACAAUGGCAGGUACAGAGAGAUGGUGUUCUGCAAAGCGCAUCUAAUCCUUAAAGCCUGUCUCAGUUCGGACUGGGGUCUGCAACCCGACCCCACGAAG